AAAAUCUAACUUGUUCAUUUUUAUGAAACUGACUUGAAACACCAAAAUAUAUAUGUGGGACUGAUUUUUCGAUCUUUUCAUAUAUUUUUGUCUAUUUCACUUGUUAAAUUGCUGAGUUAUACUGUCAGGCUGACUUACCAUUAUUCUAAAUGUCUGUACUCUCGGAAUAAGGCUCUUACUUUAUUUUGAUCAAUAUAUUUCUCUUUGUAUAAAGGUUACAAAUUAUUUGAUGUAAUCGCACUUACUUUGAAAUAGUUAUUGCGAAGAUUUAUGAAUAUUCAUGUGCGUACAUAUUCGCGUGGUUAAAGCAUACGCGCAUAGCGCAUGGUAGUGCGCUGAUAUGUGAUAGCCGAGUUUGAUCGAUGUGGCUAGGCUGUACACUUUGGCAUUAGAUGCGCUGUGAAACUGACCUGUCUGUGAACCUUGUUGAACCGAGAUUUACGACUAUAGACCAUAUCUGCUGUGUGACCUAAUACAUUACUAGUAAUAUGAAUUUCUGGAGGACGAGGCUGAGGGCCUCAGUAACUUAGUCUGUCACCUGUACCUAGUAGUUUAAGAAUAUAUCUAUCUACAUGUAAAGCAGUUGUAACUUAUAUAUAUUGAACAUUUGUAUAUUUAAUAAUUGUAUUCUAUAUAGUUGUACUUUAAAUAUAUUCGUCAUAUUUAUGAACAAAGUAAAUACGAUCUGAUGCUAUUACUUGCAUAAGAUUUAGUCACUUGUAAAUAGAUUCACAAUUCAACAAUUAAUGAUGUACAAAUUAAUAUAAGUAGCUUAUGUAUUUAUGGAGCUGUAACUUACAUGUAUAUUUUAUCUUAGUAACACUUAUUGAUAAU
rnacentral:lncRNA from 1 species